rnacentral:rRNA from 1 species
ACUCUAAGCGGUGGAUCACUCGGCUCAUGGGUCGAUGAAGAACGCAGCAAACUGUGCGUCAUCGUGUGAACUGCAGGACACAUGAACAUCGACAUUUUGAACGCAUAUCGCAGUCCAUGCUGUUAUGUACUUUAAUUAAUUUUAUAGUGCUGCUUGGACUACAUAUGGUUGAGGGUUGUAAGACUAUGCUAAUUAAGUUGCUUAUAAAUUUUUAUAAGCAUAUGGUAUAUUAUUGGAUAAAUAUAAUAAUUUUUAUUCAUAAUAUUAAAAAAUAAAUGAAAAACAUUAUCUCACAUUUGAAUGUGAAAAACGAAGAGAAAUAUUUUCUUUUUCAAUCAAAUAAUACUGAGAAAUGUCUAGCAUAAAAAAUUGAAAUAUUUUUCAUCUAGAAUUGUCUCUUAUUAAUGAUUCGGAAAUAGAAAAAUCUUGGUUAUGUUAUUAUUCUUCGUUGGUUCGUUAAAAAUGGAUAAAUAAAAACUUUGCAUACAAGAAUUAAUAAAAAUGUUAUAACGAAUUUAAUUAAAUGUUUUAUCAUUAUAUAUAAAGAAUUUAUGGCAAGAUAAAGUUAUAUACAACCUCAACUCAUAUGGGACUACCCCCUGAAUUUAAGCAUAUUAAUUAGGGGAGGAAAAGAAACUAACAAGGAUUUUCUUAGUAGCGGCGAGCGAAAAGAAAACAGUUCAGCACUAAGUCACUUUGUCUAUAUGGCAAAUGUGAGAUGCAGUGUAUGGAGCGUCAAUAUUCUAGUAUGAGAAAUUAACGAUUUAAGUCCUUCUUAAAUGAGGCCAUUUACCCAUAGAGGGUGCCAGGCCCGUAUAACGUUAAUGAUUACUAGAUGAUGUUUCCAAAGAGUCGUGUUGCUUGAUAGUGCAGCACUAAGUGGGUGGUAAACUCCAUCUAAAACUAAAUAUAACCAUGAGACCGAUAGUAAACAAGUACCGUGAGGGAAAGUUGAAAAGAACUCUGAAUAGAGAGUUAAACAGUACGUGAAACUGCUUAGAGGUUAAGCCCGAUGAACCUGAAUAUCCGUUAUGGAAAAUUCAUCAUUAAAAUUGUAAUAUUUAAAUAAUAUUAUGAGAAUAGUGUGCAUUUUUUCCAUAUAAGGACAUUGUAAUCUAUUAGCAUAUACCAAAUUUAUCAUAAAAUAUAACUUAUAGUUUAUUCCAAUUAAAUUGCUUGCAUUUUAACACAGAAUAAAUGUUAUUAAUUUGAUAAAGUGCUGAUAGAUUUAUAUGAUUACAGUGCGUUAAUUUUUCGGAAUUAUAUAAUGGCAUAAUUAUCAUUGAUUUUUGUGUUUAUUAUAUGCACUUGUAUGAUUAACAAUGCGAAAGAUUCAGGAUACCUUCGGGACCCGUCUUGAAACACGGACCAAGGAGUCUAACAUAUGUGCAAGUUAUUGGGAUAUAAACCUAAUAGCGUAAUUAACUUGACUAAUAAUGGGAUUAGUUUUUUAGCUAUUUAUAGCUAAUUAACACAAUCCCGGGGCGUUCUAUAUAGUUAUGUAUAAUGUAUAUUUAUAUUAUUUAUGCCUCUAACUGGAACGUACCUUGAGCAUAUAUGCUGUGACCCGAAAGAUGGUGAACUAUACUUGAUCAGGUUGAAGUCAGGGGAAACCCUGAUGGAAGACCGAAACAGUUCUGACGUGCAAAUCGAUUGUCAGAAUUGAGUAUAGGGGCGAAAGACCAAUCGAACCAUCUAGUAGCUGGUUCCUUCCGAAGUUUCCCUCAGGAUAGCUGGUGCAUUUUAAUAUUAUAUAAAAUAAUCUUAUCUGGUAAAGCGAAUGAUUAGAGGCCUUAGGGUCGAAACGAUCUUAACCUAUUCUCAAACUUUAAAUGGGUAAGAACCUUAACUUUCUUGAUAUGAAGUUCAAGGUUAUGAUAUAAUGUGCCCAGUGGGCCACUUUUGGUAAGCAGAACUGGCGCUGUGGGAUGAACCAAACGUAAUGUUACGGUGCCCAAAUUAACAACUCAUGCAGAUACCAUGAAAGGCGUUGGUUGCUUAAAACAGCAGGACGGUGAUCAUGGAAGUCGAAAUCCGCUAAGGAGUGUGUAACAACUCACCUGCCGAAGCAACUAGCCCUUAAAAUGGAUGGCGCUUAAGUUGUAUACCUAUACAUUACCGCUAAAGUAGAUGAUUUAUAUUACUUGUGAUAUAAAUUUUGAAACUUUAGUGAGUAGGAAGGUACAAUGGUAUGCGUAGAAGUGUUUGGCGUAAGCCUGCAUGGAGCUGCCAUUGGUACAGAUCUUGGUGGUAGUAGCAAAUAAUCGAAUGAGACCUUGGAGGACUGAAGUGGAGAAGGGUUUCGUGUGAACAGUGGUUGAUCACGAGUUAGUCGGUCCUAAGUUCAAGGCGAAAGCCGAAAAUUUUCAAGUAAAACAAAAAUGCCUAACUAUAUAAACAAAGCGAAUUAUAAUACACUUGAAUAAUUUUGAACGAAAGGGAAUACGGUUCCAAUUCCGUAACCUGUUGAGUAUCCGUUUGUUAUUAAAUAUGGGCCUCGUGCUCAUCCUGGCAACAGGAACGACCAUAAAGAAGCCGUCGAGAGAUAUCGGAAGAGUUUUCUUUUCUGUUUUAUAGCCGUACUACCAUGGAAGUCUUUCGCAGAGAGAUAUGGUAGAUGGGCUAGAAGAGCAUGACAUAUACUGUUGUGUCGAUAUUUUCUCCUCGGACCUUGAAAAUUUAUGGUGGGGACACGCAAACUUCUCAACAGGCCGUACCAAUAUCCGCAGCUGGUCUCCAAGGUGAAGAGUCUCUAGUCGAUAGAAUAAUGUAGGUAAGGGAAGUCGGCAAAUUAGAUCCGUAACUUCGGGAUAAGGAUUGGCUCUGAAGAUUGAGAUAGUCGGGCUUGAUUGGGAAACAAUAACAUGGUUUAUGUGCUCGUUCUGGGUAAAUAGAGUUUCUAGCAUUUAUGUUAGUUACUUGUUCCCCGGAUAGUUUAGUUACGUAGCCAAUUGUGGAACUUUCUUGCUAAAAUUUUUAAGAAUACUAUUUGGGUUAAACCAAUUAGUUCUUAUUAAUUAUAACGAUUAUCAAUUAACAAUCAAUUCAGAACUGGCACGGACUUGGGGAAUCCGACUGUCUAAUUAAAACAAAGCAUUGUGAUGGCCCUAGCGGGUGUUGACACAAUGUGAUUUCUGCCCAGUGCUCUGAAUGUCAAAGUGAAGAAAUUCAAGUAAGCGCGGGUCAACGGCGGGAGUAACUAUGACUCUCUUAAGGUAGCCAAAUGCCUCGUCAUCUAAUUAGUGACGCGCAUGAAUGGAUUAACGAGAUUCCUACUGUCCCUAUCUACUAUCUAGCGAAACCACAGCCAAGGGAACGGGCUUGGAAUAAUUAGCGGGGAAAGAAGACCCUUUUGAGCUUGACUCUAAUCUGGCA